GGUUAAAAUAAAUUAAAACGAAUUAAUAACAGUACAAAGACAACAACAUUUCCUCUAAAUAUCAAGGCGUUGAAUGAGAAAGCCCCGAACUUUUCCAAAAUAUCCGGCGGUCGGACGAUAUUUACUGAUGGACACUUUCCCGCUACAGGAUAUUGCAGCAUGAAGAAGGAGCAAGUUGUCAACUGUCAGUUUUCGGUUUGGUAUCCGAUAUUCAAGAAACAUACGAUUAAAAGUCUGAUUCUCCCACUGCCUCAGAAUGUAAUAGAAUAUUUACUGGACGAUGGGACACUGGUAGUCUCUGGGAGUGACCACAACACACAGCAGACACACACUAACAGCAGCGACUCCAAUGCAGAGGAAGACGUUCAGGUACGGGAACUGAAACUAAGGUUGU